UUCGGAAAGUCACAGGCAAGCUGUCGUUGUUGGCUGCCUGGCCUCCUCUCUCAGCCUCGAUUUCCACCCUCCCUGACCCUCGUGGAGUGGCUAGAGAGGAGAACCCAGUGGUUUCUGUACCCAUCCCUCCUGUCUUCUCCCGCACAUCCUCAACUUUCUUUUCUUUCAGUCACACAGGCAGUGUCCCUGGCCCGCUCUUCUCAGACAACCCUUCAGGUCUCUCAAGAAUGUCCCCGUAUUCCUCUAAAGAGAACAAUACCACAGAUGAUUCUUAUGAAGUCAGUCUAUGAAACCAAGUUUGGAAACUCAACUAAAUUAUGUGGCAUAGAAAGAGCUUCCUAUGACUGCAAGGGACAUAUGGAAAGAAAAGAACUAAAGGUACUAGGACCCUGGGGCCCCUUCUGAAGAUAGGAAUUAUCAGACCCCUUUUAAAGUCUUCCUUGCUUACAAGUAAGGUUUCAUAACUGCUGGAGGUGGGAAGCUUAAGUGAUUUGCCUUUGAAAAAUUGGUCAAGAGAACAUAGCUCAGAACCUAGAUGGUUUUAUUAGCAAGUCUUUUAAGGUUAAUGGAGAAAUUUAAAUGUCUGUAACUAUUAGAUAUGGGGAAAUUUGCAGGGCUGCUGCAGUGCUGGAUUUGGGAUCAGCUCUGAGUUUAAGUCCUUACUAGCUGUGUGGCUUUGCCUGAGUCAACUCAUCUCUAAGACAUUCAGCCACUUUUUCUCCAGAACAUAAAAAAUAUGGGAAAAGAUGAGUGAAAACAUAUCAUCAGUGCUCUUGGAUCAAUGGGCUGGAGAUAAGAUAAGAAAUAGGAGGCUCCUAUGGCUGCUGGCAAGAUCCAAAAUAACUCACACUCUAGGAAAGCCCUGCUGUCAGUGGAUCUGGCCUUCCAAAUUGACAGAUGGGACAGCAAACUGAGCAGUAAGGUUGGGGAGUCUCCAGACACUUCCUCAGGGUUACAGUGUCUGAAAUUUUAUCAUUUUAACAUUUAGAGACUGCUCUUCAGAACUUCUCUGCUUAUGCUUUUCUUUGAAAUAUGAGAAAGCCCUAAUGAGCCAACUUGGUGCUAUAUUUUAAUUGUCUGUUUUAUGAAGAACCACAAGAACAUGUGUGUGGGGAGGGUGGAUGACAUGGGGACACCGGAGAAGAAAUGUGGCGAGAGAGAAAGUGGCAUAGGAAAGGGGAGUGAGAGGUGCUGAGGCCACGUUCUGCUGGCUUCUCAACAUCUCCCUCACUGUAGACUUAGCUGCACCCACGGGUGAGAUGAACUUCUGGUGCCCCCUAACGGUGGGACAUUUGCUACCAGAAGUCUGCUUGAACCUGGCAUCAGGCUCCUCAGAUGGGGCAGGUAGGCCAUCUCAGUUAAGGGGGAACCUGUGUAAUGACGAGUGUCGUUAAGAAGGUGGCCAAUGUGCCAUAGCAGGGGACACAGCCUUUUAUGAGGAAAAAAAUGUGCUGUUCAUGUGGGACCAAUCUGUGUUGUCCCUUGAAGAAAAUGAUGUCUCACUGCAGUGUUUGCUUAUAGAUGACUCACCAGGAAAUCAGCUGUGGCUUUCACUGAUUCCCAAUGGGAAACAUCCACUGUGGCAGGAAAAAUACCAGGGGAGUGCGGUAAGUUGAAGUAGGGUCCCACGUUGGUUUUUUCCCCCCCCCCCCCAAAAAAAAACUGUAAGAUACAGCACAGUAGCAUUUUCUCUCAGAAGAGAGAGAUCUAGUUAGUUGUUAAUCAUCAGUGUCUUCAUUUGCUCAUCUCUUCUGCUCAGGUGAACUGGCCGGCCUGCCUUUAAUGGACCGAAACAGGAGUCAGCAAACAGAUGGCAAUUUCAGGCUAUCACGCUCUAGCUGUUACCAAUAGCUAAAAAUGCAAAAAUUAUAUUAAAACAUGCAUGUCUCAUUUCACACACCACAGUACCCAUUAUCAUUAUGUUAGAGGCUCUAGAUUCUGAUUUUAAUAAAUUAAUUUAACCACUUUCUAUCUCUUUAUAGAGGACCUUAAAAUCCCAAACGACUCAGUUUGAGACAUAUGCAGUUAUUUUCUGGUGGAUCAAAUGUCCUGAUUAAUAAAUAGCUAUUACCAUAUAGAGACGUUACAUAGGCACUAACAAUUUUCAAAGGAUUAGAACAAAAUCAACUCAACACUACAAUAAUCCUGAAAAAAGGUAAAAAUCUUAGAGUCACAUACAUUGUUCUAAUAUAAAUUUUUUAAGCCCUGAUUUAAUUUUAAUAAAUAGUUUUAAAAGUUUUCUUUAAUUGUUACUUUUUAUCAGCAUGUUAUGAAAUUUGAUGUUUAAGAAGGAAAAGGAGGAAGAGAGUUGAAGAAAGUAUUUUAUGAUUUAUUAAGAUAUGAGUACUAACACUUCCUUCCUCACAUAUAGAAAAAUUGGAACUAAAAAAUAUUGAAAUUACAGUAUAAGGAAAUUCAUAGUAGGACGUGUCCCUGUGAUUGUCAGCCAGCCCAUAGAUUUCAGAAAAGCAAAAAUGGCUUACUAGAAAAAGAAGAAAUUAGUCUCUAUCCUGAUGGCAAGUUGUGGAAGUGCCAGCAUGGCUACAGGAGCAAUCAAAAAGAAAGUUUGGUCUUGGGCUCUCAUGAGUGAAUAGUAAAAGUGUUUCCGUUGUCCCCUCUUCAAUAGGUCAGUGCCCGGACUGUACCAGUCAUGAAAGAGUUUGGAUAUCAUGUCUGUAUUUGAAGAGGCUUGAGACCAUCAGCAAAACUAGGCCAAGGCAGCUUAUUCAUUGCAUCAGAGCUGUCAGUGAGCUGCUUUAAGCUGCAUUUAACAGUUAACUUGAAACUGGCUGAAAUGAAGAAACGGAAUGAUUAUAACCCGGAGGAAGGUAGGCUCCCAUAUCAUUUGACUGUUAACCCCUCACCUUUGUCCUCAUCCUUACGCCAGCUCCCCUUCAGGCCAUCAGCAGGGUGGCUGCAGCAGUGUUUGCCCUUUGUAGGUUCAUAGCAUCAUCUAUAGGAUGAGAAAUCACACAUUCCUAAGGCUCUGUCUAAAUGUGAUAAAACUUCCCUCACAAAACAUGAAUAACCUCCCGCUGGAGUUUCUUUGACCUAUGCUGGUGUCCCAUACAUACUCCUGAACAACCCUAUAGCAGUUUUUUUCUAUUAAGUACAGUUGGUUUACAACAUUGUGUCAAUUUCUGCUGUACAGCAAAGUGACCCAGUCAUAUCUUUUUUUUUCUCAUAGUAUCUUCCAUCAUGUUCAACCCUAUAGCUAUUGAUUGACUUAGG
rnacentral:lncRNA from 1 species